ensembl:lncRNA
AAUGAAUCUUACAGAUGCAGAUCUUGUAUGAGGGCUGCCCCAGAAGAAAUGCUUCCUAUUUCAUUAUGCUGGCCCAUGACAUCAGAUGUGGAUGUUGGUGGUACAGCAGCAGAGGUUGAACCUUCUCACAUGUUUCAUUACAUUUUGUUUCUGUGUGACAGGUGACAGCAGGGCAUCAGUCUGACCAAAUGGCCUCUGACAUGGAAGGGCGUAUGAAGCAAAGGAAUCCAUCCAAGUUGGGAGAAAAACUCCUUAACAUCGGCUUAUCCUGGACAGCAUCUUCAGGAUCAAUUGAGACAAAUUUGCAGAUUCUCAGAGGGACUUCAUUGACAUCUGUUCUGAGAGAUCCAGUUGGAAGAACACUUCCAAGCAUGCAGGAGGAUAAGACAUUUAUGCUUUGGGAAAUAGAUGGUAUAGAAGCUGGUAGAUUUCCUCAGUGAAUCCUGUGGUACGACAUAGCUAAGACAGUGCUAAGAAGUUAUGGGAGCAUAUGCAAUUAUCCCAAAAUUGCCCUUGACAACCUGCAAAGACACAUUGAGGCAUUAGUUGAAACAUUAACGGAGGAGAACACUGAGGAAUCUGGAAUUUUAAUGAUUUGUGUGAAUGGUCUGCAAAAUCAAAGAUAGAAACAAAUAGGAACUGUGGAAUUUUUACCAAUUAAACACUCUACUUAAGAGAAUGUGUCCAUUUUCUAGAGUUCCUUCUUGAAACUUCUUUGGCACAUUUGACCUUCAUCCCAAAUGCUGAGAAAAAUAAUGAAAUCAAUGGAUGGAAGGACCAACACUUUGAGCAUAAAGAAUCAGUCUUAUCAGGUGGUGAUACUUUCUCUACUCACGGUAGCUGGAGGUGGCUCACCUAGAGUGUUGGUAACCAGAAAUGAGAACAAGAGUGAGGGCAGAGGACAGUUUCUUUCUGAAAAUUGUAUUUGCUUGAUUUCAAAAUGUGUGUAAUGCCUAUAAGACUCCAUCUAUUUUCUAUAGACAUUGUAAUUAUUUUACAGCAACAUACCAGUAUUGUUAAAAAUGGACAAUAUAAUACUAUCUGCCAUUAUUAUUAUUACAAUUGAUACACUUAAGGAGUUUUUUUAAUAUAUAUAUUAUUUUUAUUUUUAAUGUUGCUGAGUUCUGAUUGAAGCUGAUAUGAUUCAGUUUGCUCUUUCAGAUAGAAACUUAAUCCUAGUUUGCACUGUGUGCAAGAAUGUGUGUGUCUAUGUUGUAUGUAGACAUUUUUCCCAUUCCUAUUUUUGCUUCUGGAAGUAUUUGUAACACAGGAGGAACAAAGAAAGAACGGAAAAGUAACUUUACUGCAAAUUGCUGAGGGAGUUCUGAGUGAGGCUGAAGUGCUUUAUCUGAUGAAAACUUAAUGUAAAAUAAAGAAAAAAUGCCAGGAAUAACAUGGGGUCAUAUCCCUUCCUGUGUUUUUUUUUUUUUUUAAUUUAUUGUUAUCUUAAAAAAACUUUAAAUUCUUUCUGCACUGAGUUGCUGCUUGUCAAGAAUAAUUCUGUGCUUUUAUUUUUCUUUCUUUGGCUUUGUAGCUGCUGAGCACUUGUUUUCCAAGUGGUUUUCAUUAAUGGCUGAUUUUAAAAAGAAAGACAUGAUUCUGUACAAACAAGAACACUUUUUAAUGAAUCUCUGGUAUUUAGCUGCAUGGGGUAGUGCUCAGGGGGCAAUUAUAUGUUCAGUCACUCUAGAUGUCCUCAGUUUAAACAGGUGACUCAUUUUACACUAACUUUACAGCAUUUCAAUUUUGGUGGCAGUAGUGUCUAACUAGAGGUAGGAAUAAGCUGCAGGGAAUGUUAAUUUCUUAAAUGACUGCAACUGUAUAUACAAGAGAGCUUUUGAUAAUGUACUAAUGGUCCAAUGAGGAAGUUAGGGAAAGAUCACAAAAUAAAUCAAGUGAUACUCUCUUGAAAUGCAUACAGUCCACACCUAACAGUAUUCACAGCUUUUCCUCACAAUUUUUUCACUUAAUAUGUUGACUGGGUCAGUUGCAUCUGUACUGACUGAAGAUGGGAAAUUGCAGAGAUGAUGUACGCUCCUAGCCCUUGAAUUGAAUGUGUUUCAGAACUUGACAGUAGAAUUUUUGGGUUAGUAUAUUGUCAUUUAUGCUGUUUGUAUUUUUUGAAAAAGUACCAUUUAUUCUUGCUUUCACAUUCCUUGUAGUUCUUUAUUUUAUUGUAUUGAUAUUUUCCAUUAUGCAUUUAGUACUUCUUAUUAUUUUAUUACUUUAUUCCUAAUGUAAUUCCUAAUUACUCUAUUCCUAUUAAAGUAUUCCUAAUAUUUUACUGUAUUUAGGAAUUUAUUGUUUUCAGCCUAACUGUUCUGCUGAUGUCUUUAUCCUUAUCAAUCAAUGAGAAACGGGCAAGGGGCCGUUUCUCAUGAAAUGACAUUUGGUUUGUGCAAUCUGCCUGCCCCCAUACACAAGCCAUCUUCAGGAUCAGCUCAGACUGUUUUAAGGUAGCUCAGACAAGUUUACGUGGUUAGAUACACAGCCUCAUAGAAUGCUGUCAUCGACUGUAUUUGCUGUGUGGUCAACUUGUUUGAUCUUGAAAGACCUUAAGACAUUUCUCCCUCUGUAAUGUUUGAGCUUCCAGCAUGAGUGUGAUGACUUGACACCUAAAGCAAAUUUGUCCAUUAGUGAAAUAGUCAGAUCUGUCAUUCUGUUUAAGUGGAAACCACAUCAAAAUAGCUAAUAAAGCAUCAGCAAUAGACCAAUUUAUUUUAUUUAUUUUAUUUUAUUUUAUUUUAUUUUCUUCUUCUUCUUCUUAUUAUUAUUAUUUUGUCAAACAAAAAGCAUCUACUCAAAUGCAAGCAUGCUCUUUGCCUAAAUACUUACAUCUUUGGAGUUUUUCUCAACAAGUACUUUCACCUUUUCUUAUUUUUGCUAAACUGUUUCUUUGAACCUAAAUUUAUACAGAGAUUUGCGCAGAACACAUAGCAAACGCCAGUAGGCCAAAGGUCUUCCAGAGGUAUGUUAGCAGGAUGUAGACAGGCAUUUUGCUGUCCUUCUGCAGCAGGGUAGAAUUCAGGCACAUAUAGCAAAGCUUAGGAGAGAAGAGUCUGUUUUAAUAAAAGCAGCUUGAUUGCAGGUCCACUAUCAAGGUCCACUAUCCAUUCUAUCAAGGAAGCCACAGGAGAACAACCUCUCCCUGCAUAGUUGGAAGAGAAUGGAAAUAUCACCAUAUCAAUACAUAUCAUUAUCUGAUGCUAUUAUCCAAACCCUUCUGUCCUGUGGUGCACUCCGUAGGUUUCAGGACAGCUUACAAACUCUGAAUGUAUUUUAUGGAUUUUUGUAACUGCUAUCAGUGUUCCUUUUGGAAUUGUACUCAUGCAUCUGAUCAUAAAAAUUGGUUCCUGAAGUCCAUGUUGAUAAGUACCUAAGUUCGUAAAAGUGAAUUAAUACUUUUCCAAAAAUAAUUCCUCAAUGCUUCUCAGUGUUCACGAACCAAAACUGAUACAAUUUGCUCCUUAAUAUAGUUGAUUAUAUCUAGCUUAAGAACUAUUUCAUUUUAGUUUAUGAUUUUUCCUUAAAGAAUUUUUCGGGGAGGAUGAUGAAUAGUCACAUGGAAGGAUUUAGACAGAGAACUCAUCUUAAAUGAAUUUAGAAAGACAGGUAAGUACAGUACAAAUUUCACUAGGGUGGCAAGAUUUUUCUUCAGCAUUUGGAUAGAACUUGUUGAAAAAAUUACUAGCCAAAUUAAUGACCAUUGAAGAAAAGACACAGUAACACAAAGUUAGCUAAGAAGAUAGAUAAGAUGUUAUAUCUAAGUUUGUCUAACACAAACUUUCAUUUGUGAUGUCUGGCUUAUGUCGUGGUUCUGCCCUGGGUAAAUUUCCCACCUAAGAAAAUUAAAGUGUUUGAAUGUCAGAGCAGUUGAACAUUCAUAUACAUAACAUUCAUUUUGGACUAGCAGAUUGAAUAUGUUUUUUUUUUUUUAAUUAUUUUUUAAUGUAAAGCCAUCUAAUUUCAAUAAUAACUGAACUGCAUUACUGUUUGAUCACGUGUUGGUUUAUUGUACAUAUUAUUGUCUGGGUACCAAAAAGAUCAGUCAUGUAUUUGUUGCCUGUUUUAGUGAACAAAUUAAAGAGUGAAUGAAUGAUUA